rnacentral:lncRNA from 1 species
UGCUUCAGCUCCUGGCUCCAAGUCCCUGCCCUGUGUGAGUUCCUAGCCUGAUUUCCUUUGGUGAUGAACAGCAGUGUGGAAAUGUAAGUGGACCCUCAGUCUCUCCAAGGACUGACUAUCUUCACAUCAAGACUUUGGAAAUUCUUCUACUCCUUCAAGAAGUGGGCUUAGGAAAUGGAAUAAUCAAAGCCUGCAGAAGACUUAUAGAUGGGACCACAUCCUUGUCCAUAUACCUGAAGGCAGACAGGAACAUCAGUUGGCUCCUCUCUAGAUUUCCACCAUCUGCUUGUGAUCCUCCAUGGCUGUCAGUGCCCCCUAAGCCUCUUAUUAUAAAUUACCACGGUCUCACUUUCCAGGAAACUCCACUAUAUUCCUGCUGUUUUCACACACAAUUAUUCACAGAUAGCAGAAAGAGGCGGCUCAGGAGGAAGACCCAUGGGAUAAGAGACAUUUUAGGACACUGAGGAAACAUAACUUGAGCUCUUGAACACAUUGUUGAGGACUAGAAGAAAUGAAUGAGCACCAGCAGAUGCUUUGGAAUACUGUUGAGCGAUGGAUACCUGUCUAAUAUUGCCAAAGUUAGUUUCUGAGAUCCUAUGGGAAACAUCAGUCAUCAUUAGAACUGACUGAAUGUUCUCUACAAGGAGGAAUGGGAGGCUGUCCAAUCUCACAGGUUUU